AUUGAACGCUAGCGGGAUGCCUUACACAUGCAAGUCGAACGGCAGCACGGACUUCGGUCUGGUGGCGAGUGGCGAACGGGUGAGUAAUGUAUCGGAACGUGCCUAGUAGCGGGGGAUAACUACGCGAAAGCGUAGCUAAUACCGCAUACGCCCUACGGGGGAAAGCAGGGGAUCGCAAGACCUUGCACUAUUAGAGCGGCCGAUAUCGGAUUAGCUAGUUGGUGGGGUAACGGCUCACCAAGGCGACGAUCCGUAGCUGGUUUGAGAGGACGACCAGCCACACUGGGACUGAGACACGGCCCAGACUCCUACGGGAGGCAGCAGUGGGGAAUUUUGGACAAUGGGGGAAACCCUGAUCCAGCCAUCCCGCGUGUGCGAUGAAGGCCUUCGGGUUGUAAAGCACUUUUGGCAGGAAAGAAACGUCAUGGGUUAAUACCCCGUGAAACUGACGGUACCUGCAGAAUAAGCACCGGCUAACUACGUGCCAGCAGCCGCGGUAAUACGUAGGGUGCAAGCGUUAAUCGGAAUUACUGGGCGUAAAGCGUGCGCAGGCGGUUCGGAAAGAAAGAUGUGAAAUCCCAGAGCUUAACUUUGGAACUGCAUUUUUAACUACCGAGCUAGAGUGUGUCAGAGGGAGGUGGAAUUCCGCGUGUAGCAGUGAAAUGCGUAGAUAUGCGGGAGGAACACCGAUGGCGAAGGCAGCCUCCUGGGAUAACACUAACGCUCAUGCACGAAAGCGUGGGGAGCAAACAGG
rnacentral:rRNA from 1 species